AUUAAAUUUCUCAAACCUAUCUUUGUACAAUGUAGUACAUAUAUAUAAUUUUUUUAAAAAAUACUCCAUUGUAACCUUAAACCUGUUUAGAAGCAAUGUAAGCUUGUAUUAAACUCAUAGUAUUCAUAUAAAUCAGUUUAUGUAACUCAGGUUUUUAAUGUUUAUAAUUAUAUCAUUGACUGGGUUGUUAACAAAACAAGACUUGGAUCCAUAUGUGCUGGAAAAAUAAUACAAAUUUCGUUGUAUGACAUAUUUGCAAACGCUGUUUAUUUUGCUUGUUUUUUUUUUUUUCAAAUGCUGUAAACCAACAUUUAUUCGCGGCGACUUUUUUUCACGAUUAACUUCCAAUAAACUGGCUCGCGAAUUCUAAUGUUCGUGACCAAGCUUUAUCCAGACCCGUAUUUUUUUAAAACAACCAUACGAUUAAGACUGGUUUGCGGCGAGAAAUAUUCUGCGACGAUGAGGCUCUCGCUAACCCUUCGAAAAUUUCUCGCACACAAUAAAAGUUGGUUUACUGUAUGUUAUUGUUAUUGAUCAUUCCAUUUCCAGUACAUGUGUUCUGCUGAUUGUUUUCCCAUGGGAAAUUUAAAAGGAAUGGAUGUAAUAAAAUAGAAUGGAAUAGAGUAGCUAGUAUGAUCUAUUUUAUUGAAUUGAAGAGUUAAAGUUGAAUAAUUUUGCUACCGUAUAUAUAUGUAGUCGCUAGGCUAUAGUUAAAUUUGUACAGAUGAACAUUUUUCAAUUACUGUAAUUAGAGAUUGCCAAAAUUGUCAAAUUUUCUUUUAGAACAAUUAAGUAGCUGGGUUGGAUCAUAUGUACUUAAACCAUCACCAUAGAACAGUAUUUUUGUACAGGUGUAUAAAACAGACCUUUUUCAUGAUAAAAUUCACAGUGCAUUUCAUGCUACGAUAUUUUUAAUUCUGUUAAAUUUGUACCUAUCUUAUAUAACACAAUAAAACUAUGGUAUAAAAAUG
rnacentral:misc_RNA from 1 species